AUGGAGAACGAGCGUCUCGACUCCGGCGACCAGCCCACCCUGCCGCCGCAACCACCCAAGCACCUAACGGACGAUAUGCUCCGCAACGUCUUCCACCGCCUCCCGCCGGAGCCUAUCGCCCUCGCCUUCGUCUGCUCGUCCUACAAAUCGUGGCGGCGCGUCGUCCACGACGAGGAGAACUUCCUCCGCCCCUUCCGCACGGCCCACCACAACAUCCCACCUCUCCUCGGUCUCUACUCCGACGACGUCCACGGCUCGCUUCAAUUCACCCGCACCACGAAAGGUGCGAUGAAUCUGCCGGUCCCGCCGUUGGCAUCUGCCGUGGACCACCGCUCUGGUUUCCACGGCUACGGCUGCACCCACGGCCGCGUGCUCCUCGACGCCGCCAGGGACGACAACAGCCACGGUGAGCUCCUUGUGUGGGACCCCCUGACCGAGGAACAUAACCUCAUUCCAUCAGCGCCCGGUUUCGUCCGCGGACAGAGCUGCGGCGCGGCGCUCGUCUGCGAAGCCAAUCACGCCUACCACGGCGACUGCCACUCGUCGCCAUUCCGCGUCGUCUUCGCGUACAGCGAGUACAUGCCUCCUGGCCCCUUCCACCCUCCCAGUUCCAUCCGCAUCUUCGUCUACGUCUACAGCUCCGUGACCAGAAGCUGGGGCGGUCGCCCGGCAGCCGUCAUGCGCGCGCGCGAGGGGUGGCACUUCGACAGGAAGCCGAGCGCCGUGUCCGGCAACGGCGACUCCGUGUUCUGGAUGACGGGAGAGGGCCGCAACGUGCUCGAAUUUCACCUCGAGACAGAGAGGCUUCUACUGACGGGGACACCGGAUGCUACACGGGGCGAGGACUUUGUUCUCGCGCCGGCUCAGGAAGCGCGGCUGGGUUUGGCCGGUGUGAUCGACAACUUUUUCGUCGUGUUGUUCACGAGGGACGAUGAUGGCGCCUGGGUUCACCGCAUCCUGCUUAGACUCAACGAUGCCUUUCCGUUCCAUGGUGAUGCCGAUGCCGAUGCUGAUGGGCUCUUCGGUAUUGACAUACCCACUUACUCUGAUGAUGAGGAUGGUCUUUCGGAUGAUGACGACGCGGAUGAUGACGACGACGCAACAGAAGCAAAGGUGGUCGGGUUCUCCGAGCAGUUGGAUUCCAUUUUCUUGAAGGCGGAACCGGGAGUGUUCAUGAUCAGCUUAGAGUCCGGGCAGCAUCAACGUGUGCUUGAAACGGAUCAGCACUUCUCCCGUGUUUAUCCCUAUUGCACAUUCUAUACAGCAGCUCGUAAAGUCAUUUUUAAUGAUGUACAGGAAGACUCAGAGAGCAGCAAUAUUCAAUCAGCUGAAAUAAGAAAUAUUCCAAGUGACGGAGGUGAAAACUAG
rnacentral:rRNA from 1 species